rnacentral:rRNA from 1 species
AUUGAACGCUGGCGGCAUGCCUUACACAUGCAAGUCGAACGGCAGCACGGGAGCAAUCCUGGUGGCGAGUGGCGAACGGGUGAGUAAUAUAUCGGAACGUGCCCAGUCGUGGGGAUAACGUAGCGAAAGCUACGCUAAUACCGCAUACGAUCUAUGGAUGAAAGCGGGGGAUCGCAAGACCUCGCGCGAUUGGAGCGGCCGAUAUCAGAUUAGGUAGUUGGUGAGGUAAAGGCUCACCAAGCCGACGAUCUGUAGCUGGUCUGAGAGGACGACCAGCCACACUGGGACUGAGACACGGCCCAGACUCCUACGGGAGGCAGCAGUGGGGAAUUUUGGACAAUGGGCGCAAGCCUGAUCCAGCAAUGCCGCGUGCAGGAUGAAGGCCUCGGUGUAA